rnacentral:rRNA from 1 species
GGGUUGUGAGGUUAAGCGACUAAGCGUACACGGUGGAUGCCCUGGCAGUCAGAGGCGAUGAAGGACGUGCUAAUCUGCGAUAAGCGUCGGUAAGGUGAUAUGAACCGUUAUAACCGGCGAUUUCCGAAUGGGGAAACCCAGUGUGAUUCGUCACACUAUCAUUAACUGAAUCCAUAGGUUAAUGAGGCGAACCGGGGGAACUGAAACAUCUAAGUACCCCGAGGAAAAGAAAUCAACCGAGAUUCCCCCAGUAGCGGCGAGCGAACGGGGAGCAGCCCAGAGCCUGAAUCAGUGUGUGUGUUAGUGGAAGCGUCUGGAAAGGCGCGCGAUACAGGGUGACAGCCCCGUACACAAAAAUGCACAUGCUGUGAGCUCGAUGAGUAGGGCGGGACACGUGGUAUCCUGUCUGAAUAUGGGGGGACCAUCCUCCAAGGCUAAAUACUCCUGACUGACCGAUAGUGAACCAGUACCGUGAGGGAAAGGCGAAAAGAACCCCGGCGAGGGGAGUGAAAAAGAACCUGAAACCGUGUACGUACAAGCAGUGGGAGCACGCUUAGGCGUGUGACUGCGUACCUUUUGUAUAAUGGGUCAGCGACUUAUAUUCUGUAGCAAGGUUAACCGAAUAGGGGAGCCGAAGGGAAACCGAGUCUUAACUGGGCGUUAAGUUGCAGGGUAUAGACCCGAAACCCGGUGAUCUAGCCAUGGGCAGGUUGAAGGUUGGGUAACACUAACUGGAGGACCGAACCGACUAAUGUUGAAAAAUUAGCGGAUGACUUGUGGCUGGGGGUGAAAGGCCAAUCAAACCGGGAGAUAGCUGGUUCUCCCCGAAAGCUAUUUAGGUAGCGCCUCGUGAAUUCAUCUCCGGGGGUAGAGCACUGUUUCGGCAAGGGGGUCAUCCCGACUUACCAACCCGAUGCAAACUGCGAAUACCGGAGAAUGUUAUCACGGGAGACACACGGCGGGUGCUAACGUCCGUCGUGAAGAGGGAAACAACCCAGACCGCCAGCUAAGGUCCCAAAGUCAUGGUUAAGUGGGAAACGAUGUGGGAAGGCCCAGACAGCCAGGAUGUUGGCUUAGAAGCAGCCAUCAUUUAAAGAAAGCGUAAUAGCUCACUGGUCGAGUCGGCCUGCGCGGAAGAUGUAACGGGGCUAAACCAUGCACCGAAGCUGCGGCAGCGACGCUGAUGCGUUGUUGGGUAGGGGAGCGUUCUGUAAGCCUGCGAAGGUGUGCUGUGAGGCAUGCUGGAGGUAUCAGAAGUGCGAAUGCUGACAUAAGUAACGAUAAAGCGGGUGAAAAGCCCGCUCGCCGGAAGACCAAGGGUUCCUGUCCAACGUUAAUCGGGGCAGGGUGAGUCGACCCCUAAGGCGAGGCCGAAAGGCGUAGUCGAUGGGAAACAGGUUAAUAUUCCUGUACUUGGUGUUACUGCGAAGGGGGGACGGAGAAGGCUAUGUUGGCCGGGCGACGGUUGUCCCGGUUUAAGCGUGUAGGCUGGUUUUCCAGGCAAAUCCGGAAAAUCAAGGCUGAGGCGUGAUGACGAGGCACUACGGUGCUGAAGCAACAAAUGCCCUGCUUCCAGGAAAAGCCUCUAAGCAUCAGGUAACAUCAAAUCGUACCCCAAACCGACACAGGUGGUCAGGUAGAGAAUACCAAGGCGCUUGAGAGAACUCGGGUGAAGGAACUAGGCAAAAUGGUGCCGUAACUUCGGGAGAAGGCACGCUGAUAUGUAGGUGAGGUCCCUCGCGGAUGGAGCUGAAAUCAGUCGAAGAUACCAGCUGGCUGCAACUGUUUAUUAAAAACACAGCACUGUGCAAACACGAAAGUGGACGUAUACGGUGUGACGCCUGCCCGGUGCCGGAAGGUUAAUUGAUGGGGUUAGCGCAAGCGAAGCUCUUGAUCGAAGCCCCGGUAAACGGCGGCCGUAACUAUAACGGUCCUAAGGUAGCGAAAUUCCUUGUCGGGUAAGUUCCGACCUGCACGAAUGGCGUAAUGAUGGCCAGGCUGUCUCCACCCGAGACUCAGUGAAAUUGAACUCGCUGUGAAGAUGCAGUGUACCCGCGGCAAGACGGAAAGACCCCGUGAACCUUUACUAUAGCUUGACACUGAACAUUGAGCCUUGAUGUGUAGGAUAGGUGGGAGGCUUGGAAGUGUGGACGCCAGUCUGCAUGGAGCCGACCUUGAAAUACCACCCUUUAAUGUUUGAUGUUCUAACGUUGACCCGUAAUCCGGGUUGCGGACAGUGUCUGGUGGGUAGUUUGACUGGGGCGGUCUCCUCCUAAAGAGUAACGGAGGAGCACGAAGGUUGGCUAAUCCUGGUCGGACAUCAGGAGGUUAGUGCAAUGGCAUAAGCCAGCUUGACUGCGAGCGUGACGGCGCGAGCAGGUGCGAAAGCAGGUCAUAGUGAUCCGGUGGUUCUGAAUGGAAGGGCCAUCGCUCAACGGAUAAAAGGUACUCCGGGGAUAACAGGCUGAUACCGCCCAAGAGUUCAUAUCGACGGCGGUGUUUGGCACCUCGAUGUCGGCUCAUCACAUCCUGGGGCUGAAGUAGGUCCCAAGGGUAUGGCUGUUCGCCAUUUAAAGUGGUACGCGAGCUGGGUUUAGAACGUCGUGAGACAGUUCGGUCCCUAUCUGCCGUGGGCGCUGGAGAACUGAGGGGGGCUGCUCCUAGUACGAGAGGACCGGAGUGGACGCAUCACUGGUGUUCGGGUUGUCAUGCCAAUGGCACUGCCCGGUAGCUAAAUGCGGAAGAGAUAAGUGCUGAAAGCAUCUAAGCACGAAACUUGCCCCGAGAUGAGUUCUCCCUGACCCUUUAAGGGUCCUGAAGGAACGUUGAAGACGACGACGUUGAUAGGCCGGGUGUGUAAGCGCAGCGAUGCGUUGAGCUAACCGGUACUAAUGAACCGUGAGGCUUAACCUUACAACGCCGAAGCUGUU